UUUUUGGAUGACUUGGGUUUGAUAGAAAUUGAAGUUAGAACCGCCAGUACUAGCGGUUACACAGUAUGUGCCCACUUAUGAAAAGGAAUGGAAUGAGUUCCACGUCGGACUAUAUAACACCGUCACUGUGAAUUCAUCACUAUCAGUCAGUUGUCCAGCAACAUCAUCUACAACAACAUGCAGGUCUUUAUCAUUGUUGCUUUCAUGGCCGUGGUUUCAUGCCAAACUCCCUAUUACCAGCAAACCUACAAUCCCUACCCGGAAUACAAGCCGGAAUACAAGCCGGAAUACAAAUGUUGGCAACUCCGAACGUCACACAAGCUACACAACUCUCGGAAUGAAACAGAAACGGCCCUCUAACUUCUUAAAGGCUUUGAGAAGCGACUCUUUCAAACUCGAGUUCGUGAAACUCCUUUCUAUUGGAUUCGGCGAUGCGUCUUUGUCAACGAUUCUUGGAUCAAAACAUCUAUAUGUAACAGAAGGCAAUUCGUGCUUUUCCUUUAAAUCCUGUGAAGGUGCAAUAGUGCGAGCAGAAGAAUUUGAUAUGGGUCGCGCCUAUUGCACCGUUGAGUCCACGGCGCUCUAGUGUCAAAUAGUGCUAUUGCACCGUGGAGUCCACGGCGCUCUAGUGUCAAAUAGUGCUAUUGCGCCGUGGAUCCACGCGUCUCUACUCUCUGUGUCAAAACAUGCUAUUACCCCGUUGAAUCCGGGGAGGCCCUCCAUCCAUAGGGCUGUAUGACAACUGAACAUCUAAAUGUCCCAAUAAUGGUUACAUUUUGCAGAAAUAAAAAAGCACGAGUAAUUUAACAGU